AAAACCUUUGACAAACCCAAGGCAAAGGAAGAAUGGUUAAUAAUCAUGAAGCUUUCAAUAUAAUACUAUUCAGAAAAGAGUCCUUCUAUCCAUGCACAAUCAGAGAUUGGAACACCUUACCUGCCUCAGUGACCGCUGCAGAAAGUCAUGACUGGUUCAAGAGACUACUGCAAGCACACUAAAUUUCAAGUCCUAUGUUUUUAUUUGCACCAUGUAUAAAUGUUAAGUACAGCACAAAUUAUUUCCUUUAUAUUAAAUUUUUUUUUUGGACUUAAGUUUGCAAGUGCACCCAAACAGUGACAGGAUAGUCAACCAAAAUGAUGGUGGUCACUUAGUGGUAGAAGUAGAAGUAUUCUGUGGGUUCCUUUAUUUCUGUUUCAUCUCACAUUUAUACUUG
rnacentral:lncRNA from 1 species